rnacentral:lncRNA from 1 species
UGCACAGGCCACAAACCCCAGUCACUAGCUCAUUUCAUUUUGUUAUUUUAAUACUUACAAUCCUUAAAAAACUCUUCUAAGCAUCAAAAAGCAGAAGGAUGUUGGUGGCUUGUACUUAAUCGUUGAUAUGCUUGAGCCAGGCAGACAGUCUCUUUUCUGGUUUUCUCUGAGCAAAAAGAGCAGCACACAGUCACCAAGGGCCACCAGAAUGAGUGAAGCAUCUGUUUGCAUAAUCUACUUUUCUCCUAGAGCUAUAAACAUAAUUGCUCGUUGACGGCUGGCAAAAGAGCCCAUUAACCUGCCCUUCCUGUGAUUUGGAUCUAAUUUGAAUGUCAGCUACAUUAUGAGCCCUCAAUUCAUUAAGCUGACAAGACAGACAGUGCCUCUUCAUCAGCAUGAGGUAAAAGCCUGUCUGCUGGCCACUGAGCCUGGCAGUGACUCUGAGGAGAGGCAGCUCAUCCAGACAACAAGCAGGCUGUAGAAAUCCUAAGUCGCUGCUGGGGGAGACGGAGCAGGCACAGUCAGUAUGACAGGCAGAGGGCUGCACAAGGCAGCCGGUGUCACCUCUGUGGCCAGGCAGCCCGGACCCCUUCCUUGGCAACACCAGCAAGCUCAUCAAGGCCACAAGCUGCCCUAGCUCCUGCAGGGCAGCCAUUCCCAUUCGGCUCUCUGCUCAGAUGGACAGAAAGGAGGCAGUGGUGUCAGGGCACACCCAGGUGUGGGAUGGGCCAGAUAGCUGAUCCACCAAGCAAGCCAGGAAAUUAUGGCACUAGUGACAACUGAGGCUAGAGGAAGAAAAUUCAGACAGGAAGACAGACUGGCCAGGUUAGAGGAGAACGAGAUGUCAGUGGAAGAUGGAGGGUACGGGUGGAGAAAGUGAAAUGUGUUCCCUGACUACCGUCCCUCGGUGGUGUAGGCCCAGUGGCGUGACAGGAAUAGGAGCCGUGGGUUGGCUGAAUGCGGGUGGGAGAGUAGAGAUAACAAGUUCACUUUUUUUCUCCAUAUCUGGGGAAAAAGAAAACAACACGAAAGCUAGAGAAGAAAGAAUCUAGGAAGAUAAUUUUUUCAAUAGAACAAUAUGAGAAGCCUAUAUUGAGAGGAGAGAGAGGCAGAAAUUACAGAUGAGAGCAAAAGGCUGAUAGUUUGAGUGGCAAGAAAUGAUGGAAUCCAGUGUGGCGUCUGACUGGUGCUCAAAUGGAGGAGGACGCUCAGGACCAGAAGAAAUGCACAACACGGAUGCAGGGCCCAUUCAUGCCUCAAUCCGAAGAAGCCUCUGAAACUGCUUGCUGUGACAUCUACUGAAAUUCCCUUCCAGGCCCUUGCAGACUGUCUCUACACACCCUUCUGUCUACCUACUCAGACUUCGGGCCAGGGACCGAGUUCUUAACUUGAGUCCAGUUUAGGUGGCUGGCACAAAGUACAUGUCCAACAGCCACUCACCGUGACUCGCAUCUCUGGGAAAAGACACCUGUGGAUAUUACCAAUCAUCUCAAAAGGUUCAACGUCCAUUUAAAACAAAGAUACAGCAUUUUAGAAGAAGAUGUCAAGGAAGGGCAGUGCAGCUUUAGGUGGGCCUUGGCCUGCACAGCCUCUGGGUUUAGAAGUCUCUCCCUCGUGGUGGAUUCGCCCAUGUCUGGCAGCUACUUGUGGCAGAGCCAGGGAGUCUCCCACGAGGGACAACAGUGAGGCUGGCAGACACCUUGCACUGCCUCCUCCUGUAAACGAGAGGAUAGCUGAGCCGAUCUAAUACCUGGGAACCCAAGUCACUGUUUAAGUCUUCUGCACCCAAUUACGCUUCAAAUGGCACACAGUAAGAAAAGAAUAAUACAUCAUGCAUUUGUUAUUAAUUAUAAUGUAAUACUGUCACUACUGUUUCCUUGUAACAUGAUAGCAAAUAAAAUGUAGCAGAAUAAUUUCCAUCUAAAAAAGCCUUCCGAAUCAUGAUUGCUUGACACUGAACUUAGU